AACGAACGCUGGCGGCAUGCCUAACACAUGCAAGUCGAACGAGACCUUCGGGUCUAGUGGCGCACGGGUGCGUAACGCGUGGGAACCUGCCUUUAGGUUCGGAAUAACUCAGAGAAAUUUGAGCUAAUACCGGAUGAUGUCUUCGGACCAAAGAUUUAUCGCCUUUAGAUGGGCCCGCGUUGGAUUAGCCAGUUGGUGGGGUAAAGGCCUACCAAGGCGACGAUCCAUAGCUGGUCUGAGAGGAUGAUCAGCCACACUGGGACUGAGACACGGCCCAGACUCCUACGGGAGGCAGCAGUGGGGAAUAUUGGACAAUGGGCGAAAGCCUGAUCCAGCAAUGCCGCGUGAGUGAUGAAGGCCUUAGGGUUGUAAAGCUCUUUUACCCGAGAUGAUAAUGACAGUAUCGGGAGAAUAAGCUCCGGCUAACUCCGUG
rnacentral:rRNA from 1 species